AGUUAAUGAUCUUGAAUUAAGUUUAUAUUUUGAAAAUAUAAAAAAGAAAUUUAAAUUUUUCUAUUAACUU
rnacentral:tRNA from 1 species